UAAUACGGAGGGUGCAAGCGUUAUUCGGAAUCACUGGGCGUAAAGGACGCGUAGGCGGGUUGUCAAGUCUGAUGUGAAAUCCUAUGGCUCAACCAUAGAACUGCAUUGGAAACUGGCAACCUAGAGUAUGGGAGGGGGAGAUGGAAUUAGUGGUGUAGGGGUAAAAUCCGUAGAUAUCACUAGGAAUACCGAAAGCGAAGGCGAUCUCCUGGAACAUUACUGACGCUAAGGCGUGAAAGCGUGGGGAGCAAACGGGAUUAGAUACCCCGGUAGUCCACGCCCUAAACGAUGUUCACUAGUCGUCGGGAUGCUAGUCAUCUCGGUGAUGCACUUAACAGAUUAAGUGAACCGCCUGGGGAGUACGGUCGCAAGAUUA
rnacentral:rRNA from 1 species